rnacentral:rRNA from 1 species
UAUCAGCUUUUUGAGUGUGAUUAUGUGGUUUAUGAGGAGUUUAACCGCCUUCAUGUAUUGCAUAUUUGUGCUCUUGGGUGUACUUGUCUGUGUGGUAGGUUAACAUCAAUUUCGGUCGUCAUAAAAUGAUUGGAGGAAUGUAGCUUUGGUCUCGUAUCGAAGUGUUAUAGACUCUGGUAGAUGUGACGAUUGGGAUUGAGGAUUGCAACGGAUACCCUUCGGGGCUACUCGUCUGAUCUCUGAAGGUUGCUCCGGUACCGAAAGCGUGCUUACGGUCAUCGAAAGUGAUUUUCAAAAGGUUAGAACGGGCUAAAUUCGUUAAGGAUGUUGACGUA